rnacentral:rRNA from 1 species
GUGCACCAGGCGAGAAACUUUACAAUGUGCGAAAGCACGAUAAGGGAACUCUGAGUGCCUCCUAAGGAGGCUGUUCAGGUGUCUAAAAGCACCUGAAGGAAGGGCUGGGUAAGACCGGUGCCAGCCGCCGCGGUAACACCGGCAGCCCAAGUGGUAGCCACGUUUAUUGGGUCUAAAGCGUCCGUAGCCGGCUGGGUAAGUUCCUUGGGAAAUUUGGCUGCUUAACAGUCAAGCUUUCAGGGAAUACUGCCCGGCUUGGGACCGGGAGAGGUCAGAGGUACUCCAGGGGUAGGGGUGAAAUCCAUUAAUCCUUGGGGGACCACCGGUAGCGAAGGCGUCUGACCAGACCGGGUCCGACGGUGAGGGACGAAGGCUA